UACGAAGGGGGCUAGCGUUGCUCGGAAUUACUGGGCGUAAAGCGCACGUAGGCGGAUCUUUAAGUCAGGGGUGAAAUCCUGGAGCUCAACUCCAGAACCGCCUUUGAUACUGAGGACCUUGAGUCCGGAAGAGGUAAGUGGAACUGCGAGUGUAGAGGUGAAAUUCGUAGAUAUUCGCAAGAACACCAGUGGCGAAGGCGGCUCACUGGCCCGGUACUGACGCUGAGGUGCGAAAGCGUGGGGAGCAAACAGGAUUAGAUGAC
rnacentral:rRNA from 1 species